GGGUUGUGAGGUUAAGCGACUAAGCGUACACGGUGGAUGCCCUGGCAGUCAGAGGCGAUGAAGGACGUGCUAAUCUGCGAUAAGCGCCGGUAAGGUGAUAUGAACCGUUAUAACCGGCGAUUUCCGAAUGGGGAAACCCAGUGUGAUUCGUCACACUAUCAUUAACUGAAUCCAUAGGUUAAUGAGGCGAACCGGGGGAACUGAAACAUCUAAGUACCCCGAGGAAAAGAAAUCAACCGAGAUUCCCCCAGUAGCGGCGAGCGAACGGGGAGGAGCCCAGAGCCUGAAUCAGCAUGUGUGUUAGUGGAAGCGUCUGGAAAGGUGCGCGAUACAGGGUGACAGCCCCGUACACAAAAGCGCAUGUGCUGUGAGCUCGAUGAGUAGGGCGGGACACGUGGUAUCCUGUCUGAAUAUGGGGGGACCAUCCUCCAAGGCUAAAUACUCCUGACUGACCGAUAGUGAACCAGUACCGUGAGGGAAAGGCGAAAAGAACCCCGGCGAGGGGAGUGAAAAAGAACCUGAAACCGUGUACGUACAAGCAGUGGGAGCACCCUUCGGGGUGUGACUGCGUACCUUUUGUAUAAUGGGUCAGCGACUUAUAUUCUGUAGCAAGGUUAACCGUAUAGGGGAGCCGGAGGGAAACCGAGUCUUAACCGGGCGUUAAGUUGCAGGGUAUAGACCCGAAACCCGGUGAUCUAGCCAUGGGCAGGUUGAAGGUUGGGUAACACUAACUGGAGGACCGAACCGACUAAUGUUGAAAAAUUAGCGGAUGACCUGUGGCUGGGGGUGAAAGGCCAAUCAAACCGGGAGAUAGCUGGUUCUCCCCGAAAGCUAUUUAGGUAGCGCCUCGUGAAUUCAUCUCCGGGGGUAGAGCACUGUUUCGGCUAGGGGGCCAUCCCGGCUUACCAACCCGAUGCAAACUGCGAAUACCGGAGAAUGUUAUCACGGGAGACACACGGCGGGUGCUAACGUCCGUCGUGAAGAGGGAAACAACCCAGACCGCCAGCUAAGGUCCCAAAGUCAUGGUUAAGUGGGAAACGAUGUGGGAAGGCCCAGACAGCCAGGAUGUUGGCUUAGAAGCAGCCAUCAUUUAAAGAAAGCGUAAUAGCUCACUGGUCGAGUCGGCCUGCGCGGAAGAUGUAACGGGGCUAAACCAUGCACCGAAGCUGCGGCAGCGACGCUGAUGCGUUGUUGGGUAGGGGAGCGUUCUGUAAGCCUGCGAAGGUGACCUGUGAGGGUUGCUGGAGGUAUCAGAAGUGCGAAUGCUGACAUAAGUAACGAUAAAGCGGGUGAAAAGCCCGCUCGCCGGAAGACCAAGGGUUCCUGUCCAACGUUAAUCGGGGCAGGGUGAGUCGACCCCUAAGGCGAGGCCGAAAGGCGUAGUCGAUGGGAAACGGGUUAAUAUUCCCGUACUUGGUGUUACUGCGAAGGGGACGGAGAAGGCUAUGUUGGCCGGGCGACGGUUGUCCCGGUUUAAGCGUGUAGGUGUGUGUUCCAGGUAAAUCCGGUUCACUUUAACACUGAGGCGUGAUGACGAGGCACUACGGUGCUGAAGCAACAAAUGCCCUGCUUCCAGGAAAAGCCUCUAAGCAUCAGGUAACAUCAAAUCGUACCCCAAACCGACACAGGUGGUCAGGUAGAGAAUACCAAGGCGCUUGAGAGAACUCGGGUGAAGGAACUAGGCAAAAUGGUGCCGUAACUUCGGGAGAAGGCACGCUGACACGUAGGUGAAGUGAUUUACUCACGGAGCUGAAGUCAGUCGAAGAUACCAGCUGGCUGCAACUGUUUAUUAAAACACAGCACUGUGCAAACACGAAAGUGGACGUAUACGGUGUGACGCCUGCCCGGUGCCGGAAGGUUAAUUGAUGGGGUCAGCGCAAGCGAAGCUCCUGAUCGAAGCCCCGGUAAACGGCGGCCGUAACUAUAACGGUCCUAAGGUAGCGAAAUUCCUUGUCGGGUAAGUUCCGACCUGCACGAAUGGCGUAAUGAUGGCCAGGCUGUCUCCACCCGAGACUCAGUGAAAUUGAACUCGCUGUGAAGAUGCAGUGUACCCGCGGCAAGACGGAAAGACCCCGUGAACCUUUACUAUAGCUUGACACUGAACAUUGAGCCUUGAUGUGUAGGAUAGGUGGGAGGCUUUGAAGUGUGGACGCCAGUCUGCAUGGAGCCGACCUUGAAAUACCACCCUUUAAUGUUUGAUGUUCUAACGUGGACCCGUAAUCCGGGUUGCGGACAGUGUCUGGUGGGUAGUUUGACUGGGGCGGUCUCCUCCUAAAGAGUAACGGAGGAGCACGAAGGUUGGCUAAUCCUGGUCGGACAUCAGGAGGUUAGUGCAAUGGCAUAAGCCAGCUUGACUGCGAGCGUGACGGCGCGAGCAGGUGCGAAAGCAGGUCAUAGUGAUCCGGUGGUUCUGAAUGGAAGGGCCAUCGCUCAACGGAUAAAAGGUACUCCGGGGAUAACAGGCUGAUACCGCCCAAGAGUUCAUAUCGACGGCGGUGUUUGGCACCUCGAUGUCGGCUCAUCACAUCCUGGGGCUGAAGUAGGUCCCAAGGGUAUGGCUGUUCGCCAUUUAAAGUGGUACGCGAGCUGGGUUUAGAACGUCGUGAGACAGUUCGGUCCCUAUCUGCCGUGGGCGCUGGAGAACUGAGGGGGGCUGCUCCUAGUACGAGAGGACCGGAGUGGACGCAUCACUGGUGUUCGGGUUGUCAUGCCAAUGGCACUGCCCGGUAGCUAAAUGCGGAAGAGAUAAGUGCUGAAAGCAUCUAAGCACGAAACUUGCCCCGAGAUGAGUUCUCCCUGAGACUUAGAGUCUCCUGAAGGAACGUUGAAGACGACGACGUUGAUAGGCCGGGUGUGUAAGCGCAGCGAUGCGUUGAGCUAACCGGUACUAAUGAACCGUGAGGCUUAACCUUACAACGCCGAAG
rnacentral:rRNA from 1 species